UUUAGGUGUUGUUUUUUGUCUUAAUUCAUUCUGUCUACCAAUUACUUUCACAUUUGAUACAUCUAUGUAAUGCCUAAUAUUCUAAAGUAGGCACAUGUAUCUACAAGCUAUGCUGCAGCUCUUUCAUAAUUCAUAGUUUGAGUUCUUGUUUGUUCA